AGAUGUGAGGGAACCUGGCUGUGACAUCUCUCACCUCACUUAUCACCAGGAUUGAUUCAGCUGAUCUAGCUGGUUAGACAAAUGUCCCUUUCCUCCUUCAGUGUUCCAUGUGCAUCCCUCCUGAAGCCAUAUGCUCAAAAGAGGAUAAUUGUACCAACAGAGGAGAACUAUUCUUCAGUCAAGGUUAUAUGAGUUGCUGUACUCCCCUGCUAGAACCUCCAAACAAGUUCUCAAGAUCUCUUCAAUAUAACAAAGUUACUAGAUGUUAAUUUCUUGUUAAUAUAUUUUUUAAAAACUAUAUUAGUUA
ensembl:misc_RNA 7SK 7SK RNA